CUCUGAUCUGGAUAAAUGUUCAAAAAACCAACUGAUUGUUAUAUCUGCUAUUUGCCAAUGAAGUGUUUUAGAUGUGGAUAAAACCUGGAAUGCUGAUUGGCUGCUUUUUGGGUAGCUGAUAAAGUUAAGUCGAUUGCUGUUUCUCCCGUGUUGUUUUUGUUUAGUUCCCUGGUCGGCCGGUCUCAGAAGUGUGCUGCAUGGUGGCAGCAAGUGUACAUUGUGAACUGUUUGUGUACGAGUCCGGUUGGCUGGGGUUCUGUUAUCUUUUUUUUCUUUUUGUUUCUUUUUUAUUGAUGACCAUCUUCCCAGCCUUAUGUCAUUAGCUCGACCCGUGCUUGUAUUCUGUGUGUGUAUCCCUUUGGGGUAUGGGAUCCAUGUUUGCUGUGGUUUUCUUUGAAGUUAUGAGUGAAGGGUUAUGUUUUGAGUUGUUUUCUAUUUGAAUUGUGGUGUUUAUUUCCAUUGAUUUUUUUGGUUCUUUCUUUUUACUGUCAUUAAGAAAUUGAUGUUUCCUAAUACCUUGAAGGUUUUCCACACACAAAAGAACCAGCUACUAUAGAGAGCUUUGAGCUGGUGGUUAACAUCUUUAAGA